CGCAAAGAUAAUCCAGUCCGCGUUUUCUCGUUCACCUGAGCCUGAGCCUCUGCUGAGUCAGUUAAUGACGUUGCGUGACGUCGCACAUAAACAGGAAGAGAGGUCGGUGAUACAAAACAUUCAGAAUAAAUGAAUUAAACUCCGGACUAGUCAGCGGCUAAAAACAGUUUCAAACAUCAGCAUCCAAAGAUAGAAGCACUUUCCUUUGUCAUCGGAAAUUUGGACCCAUCAAAAUCAACGAUGCGUCAGCGUUCCAGCAGGUCCGGGAGAACAGCGCUUCUUCGUCCUGACAGAUGGAGCGUUCCAGAUCCUCCACAAUCAGCGACAAUGCAGGAUACACCGCACAGAUGAUCCAAUUUCACAGCACGACGGACGGGCUCCCUAUUCAAACGGGCUUGUGUGUGUCUGGUCUGGCCAUGCUUUAGUAAAGCGUCAAUUUGAAUGCUCGGACUGAGACAGUUUCCAAACUGCGUUUCCAGUCACGGAUCUUCAGACUGACCAACAACAGGCAUUAAGUGGCUGUAUUUUCCAAACAACUUGCAAAUUGGUCGUUUCUUGCAGCGCCAUCCGGCAGCCUGAGCUGUUCGUCCGCAAACCUCUCACAAACUGUCAACGUCGCCACCAAGCCGAUUGGUGAGCCUUGAACUGCGAUUGGUCAGAAAGAGCAGGUAACAGUAAACUGGAACUUGUACCAUGUACGUUCUGCAACGUUAUUAAGUAAAACAUGACAAUUGACCCAGUAAGUAAGCUGAAACUGUACUGUAAAAGGAAGCCUUGUUUGUUUCCAUGGUAUUACCAGGUUCUUACCAUAUCAUUUGUAAUAGAUACAUUCCAUUGUCCAUGCAGUAAACUGGAACUUGUACCAUGUACGUUCUGCUACAUUAC
ensembl:lncRNA